rnacentral:rRNA from 1 species
ACAUGCAGUCGAGCGGACAGAAGGGAGCUUGCUCCCGGAUGUUAGCGGCGGACGGGUGAGUAACACGUGGGUAACCUGCCUGUAAGACUGGGAUAACUCCGGGAAACCGGAGCUAAUACCGGAUAGUUCCUUGAACCGCAUGGUUCAAGGAUGAAAGACGGUUUCGGCUGUCACUUACAGAUGGACCCGCGGCGCAUUAGCUAGUUGGUGGGGUAAUGGCUCACCAAGGCAACGAUGCGUAGCCGACCUGAGAGGGUGAUCGGCCACACUGGGACUGAGACACGGCCCAGACUCCUACGGGAGGCAGCAGUAGGGAAUCUUCCGCAAUGGACGAAAGUCUGACGGAGCAACGCCGCGUGAGUGAUGAAGGUUUUCGGAUCGUAAAGCUCUGUUGUUAGGGAAGAACAAGUGCGAGAGUAACUGCUCGCACCUUGACGGUACCUAACCAGAAAGCCACGGCUAAAUUACGUGCCAGCAGCCGCGGUAAUACGUAGGUGGCAAGCGUUGUCCGGAAUUAUUGGGCGUAAAGGGCUCGCAGGCGGUUUCUUAAGUUUGAUGUGAAAGCCCCCGGCUCAACCGGGGAGGGUCAUUGGAAACUGGGAAACUUGAGUGCAGAAGAGGAGAGUGGAAUUCCACGUGUAGCGGUGAAAUGCGUAGAGAUGUGGAGGAACACCAGUGGCGAAGGCGACUCUCUGGUCUGUAACUGACGCUGAGGAGCGAAAGCGUGGGGAGCGAACAGGAUUAGAUACCCUGGUAGUCCACGCCGUAAACGAUGAGUGCUAAGUGUUAGGGGGUUUCCGCCCCUUAGUGCUGCAGCUAACGCAUUAAGCACUCCGCCUGGGGAGUACGGUCGCAAGACUGAAACUCAAAGGAAUUGACAGGGGGCCCGCACAAGCCGGUGGAGCAUGUCGGUUUAAUUCGAAGCAACGCCGAAGAACCUUACCAUGGUCUUGACAUCCUCUGACAACCCUAGACGAUAGGGCUUUCCCUUCGGGGACAGAGUGACAGGUGGUGCAUGGUUGUCGUCAGCUCGUGUCGUGAGAUGUUGGGUUAAGUCCCGCAACGAGCGCAACCCUUGAUCUUAGUUGCCAGCAUUUAGUUGGGCACUCUAAGGUGACUGCCGGUGACAAACCGGAGGAAGGUGGGGAUGACGUCAAAUCAUCAUGCCCCUUAUGACCUGGGCUACACACGUGCUACAAUGGACAGAACAAAGGGCUGCGAGACCGCAAGGUUUAGCGAAUCCCAUAAAUCUGUUCUCAGUUCGGAUCGCAGUCUGCAACUCGACUGCGUGAAGCUGGAAUCGCUAGUAAUCGCGGAUCAGCAUGCCGCGGUGAAUACGUUCCCGGGCCUUGUACACACCGCCCGUCACACCACGAGAGUUUGCAACACCCGAAGUCGGUGAGGUA